rnacentral:rRNA from 1 species
ACAGCAGUAGCCGCGGUAAUACAUAGGUGGCAAGCGUUGUCCGGAAUUAUUGGGCGUAAAGGGCUCGCAGGCGGUUUCUUAAGUCUGAUGUGAAAGCCCCCGGCUCAACCGGGGAGGGUCAUUGGAAACUGGGAAACUUGAGUGCAGAAGAGGAGAGUGGAAUUCCACGUGUAGCGGUGAAAUGCGUAGAGAUGUGGAGGAACACCAGUGGUGAAGGCGACUCUCUGGUCUGUAACUGACGCUGAGGAGCGAAAGCGUGGGGAGCGAACAGGAUUAGAUACCCGAGUAGUCCCUGUCUCUUAUAC